GGAUUUACUUUCAGCUCUGUUCCAGAACAGAUGCUCUUUUCCACUCCCCACGGAGAUCAAGAGCUUGGAGCAGAAAUAAUAGCUCUCCUCACAAAAAGACAAGGUGUCUGUACUUUAUUCAUCGAGUGGAGAGAACCACACAAUGUCUUUAACUUUUGGGGGAAGAAUCAAGAGCUCUAAGACAAAUCACUUUAUGCACCUAUCUCUACAGUCUUUGCAUACAUGGCCUACUUUUAUUACCCCUUCUCUUUUUGAGGUAACCAGGUAUCCAGGUUAAUCACGCUACCCUUGGUUAUCAUCACAUGUAUUUCUGAAAUUGUCUUUUACAUAUAUCUUUUUACUUGUUAAUGUAAGACAUAAGAACAGCCUUUAUCUUGUUGAUUAUGGUAAUUAGCACAUAGUAAUUUCUCAAUAAAAAUAUGUUGGAAAG
rnacentral:lncRNA from 10 species